UCAUGAGAGGGGUAAAACCAAGGAACAGACUGCAUGAGCCCUUGGGCCCCUUCCAGCUCUAAUACUCCAUGGUGAUGGCAGCCCUGCCCUUCUCUGAAGAUCUCAAAAUGCCUGACACCUGUGUCCUUCCGCACUGCCCUGGGAAGGAGAAUAAGGAUGUCUUGAUAAACUGCUUGAUGCUGGUCUCUAUACUGGAGAAGUGACUGAAAUUGUAGGAGGCCCAGGUAGCGGCAAAACUCAGGUAUGUCUCUGUAUGGCAGCAAAUGUGGCCCAUGGCCUGCAGCAAAACGUCCUAUAUGUAGAUUCCAAUGGAGGGCUGACAGCUUCCCGCCUCCUCCAGCUGCUUCAGGCUAAAACCCAGGAUGAGGAGGAACAGGCAGAAGCUCUCCGGAGGAUCCAGGUGGUGCAUGCGUUUGACAUCUUCCAGAUGCUGGAUGUGCUGCAGGAGCUCCGAGGCACUGUGGCCCAGCAGGUGAGCCUGCUGUUCUGCCCCUCCUUGCUUAAUUCAGCUUUCUAGGUGCUAUCUCUGUGGGCAGGUGUCCUACUACAGACUGUUUGGAAAUGCAGAUGUGCAAUCUGGUGACUCCAACUAUGCUUGCUACUCCCAGGAUGGAAUUCCCGAGCACCUAAAUCACAUACCUCAUUGUUUACAUGUUCAUCUUCCCUGCUGAA
rnacentral:sRNA from 1 species